rnacentral:sRNA from 1 species
UUUAAAAUUCACAUUUUGGAUUGUGCCUGCGCAUGCACAUGCGUGAGCGCGUGCGUGUGCUUAUGUGUCGGAGAUCAGCCUGAGUGAGUGAAUCUCUUUCCUUCUCCCUUGUGGGUUUGUUGGGGAUGAACUACUCAGGCUGGCAGACUUGGAGUCUAUCACCUGAGCAACCUCACUGUCCCAACCCACGCUCUAAGUUGCCCUGGCUAAGCUGCAACUUGGUUUGAGACCAGGCUAGCGUUGAACUUGUGGCAAACCUUUGCUUCUGUGUCCUGAGAACUGGGUCAAAGGCAUGGACCUCCAUAAUGACUUUUUGUCUAAAGACACUGUUUCAUACUCUGAUCCCAGACUAUCCUGGAACUCACAGAAUCCUCCUGCCUCAGCCUCCCAGGUGCUGGUAUUACAGGUGUGGGCCACCAUACCCAAGCUCAUGAAAAAUUUGCUCAUUACCACCCAUCCUUCUGUGACCCACACUGAAGCAAACACAUUUUGUUUGUUUUGUUGUUUGUUUUUUCUGAACGUGUCACUUUUGUGCCGUCUGAAUCCCAGGCUGCUUGCUAAGGUUUGUUGGCAGCUCAGAUGGACUUUGAGCCUCUUCACGGUCCUGCCUCACGUGGCAACGGACAAAGCUUAAAGUGACAGAUGGAAGGAAAAGUCUCCCACAGCUCUCCGAGCUCCGUGAAAUCCUUCCUUAUGGGAUUUGCCUUGUCGGAGAGGCCUAGGGGCUCACCGAAGAAACCCACAGUACAUACUCACUGCGAUAAAAACACGGCUCGAAGUCUCAAGGGUGAAGGGCACAAGGGAGAAGGGAAGGGGAAUGAUUGGCACAGGGGCUUGCCCGUUUCCUGCUCCUUGGCACCGUGCCCACCCUUCUCUGCCCAGUCCCAAGGAAGAGGCCUUUGACACAUCCCAAAGGGGUAGCCACCUGAGUCCAGAGACACGAACAGAUGCUCCAGGACUCCUCAUUCCUGUGCCGUGUGCUAUACGCAGAACAUCGUGCCUUGGUAAAGGACCUGCUCUUCAAAGCCACAGUCUCCAAAUGUGUCAUGGAGGGUGACCAACAUGUGUGGAAGCUGGAGGGGAAGAACAAACUUCCAUUGAUUAUUUGAUUUAUUUUCCAGACAAGUUCAAGGCUGGCCUUGAGCUCAUAGCAAUCCUUCUGCCCCAGCCUCCUAAAUUCUGAGGUUACAAGGAUGAGCCACCACGUCUGGCUAUUUAGAUAAAGAAUAUGGCCCUAAGGUAAGGGCCUCCGUUAUUAGUGCAUUGACACUGGUUCAUUAGAAAUAACAAUGUGCCACAGUUACAUGAGGAAUUAACAUGGAAAACUGGACGUACGGGAAUCCCCCAGCUUAUCCUUAAAACCUUGUACACAAAAACUUAUUGCAAAACAAAAAUGUUUUAAAAUAAAUCUCUCUCAUGCGUA